GAGAUGUGGGUAGUCCGCACGAGCGCACCCUAUCCUUAUUUGCCAGCGCGUAGUGGCGGGAACUUUAAGGAGACUGCCGGUGAUAAACCGGAGGAAGGUGGGGACGACGUCAAGUCAUCAUGGCCCUUACGGGAUGGGCUGCACACGUGCUACAAUGGCAGGUACAGAGGGCAGCAAUACCGCGAGGUGGAGCGAAUCCCACAAAGCUUGUCGUAGUCCGGAUUGGAGUCUGCAACUCGACUCCAUGAAGUCGGAAUCGCUAGUAAUCGUAGAUCAGAAUGCUACGGUGAAUACGUUCCCGGGCCUUGUACACACCGCCCGUCACACCAUGGGAGUGGGAUGCAAAAGAAGUGGCUAGUUUAACCUUUCGGGGAGGACGGUCACCACUUUGUGUUUCAUGACUGGGGUGAAGUCGUAACAAGGUAACCCUAGGGGAACCUGGGGUUGGAUCACCUCCUUAUCUU
rnacentral:rRNA from 1 species